UUCAAUCUGAUCAGCGCCAAUUUAUUUGGACUCGCGAUUAUUUUGCUGCUCGUUGUCUGGCGCAAGAAAGCCACGCAUCCCGCACACUACGAACCCAUUUUCAAGUGAUAUCUCAGCCAUAAAACUGAUAUUAAGCAAAAA